GACGAACGCUGGCGGCGUGCUUAACACAUGCAAGUCGAACGGAAAGGCCCUGCUUUUGUGGGGUGCUCGAGUGGCGAACGGGUGAGUAACACGUGAGUAACCUGCCCUUGACUUUGGGAUAACUUCAGGAAACUGGGGCUAAUACCGGAUAGGAGCUCCUGCUGCAUGGUGGGGGUUGGAAAGUUUCGGCGGUUGGGGAUGGACUCGCGGCUUAUCAGCUUGUUGGUGGGGUAGUGGCUUACCAAGGCUUUGACGGGUAGCCGGCCUGAGAGGGUGACCGGCCACAUUGGGACUGAGAUACCGCCCAGACUCCUACGGGAGGCAGCAGUGGGGAAUAUUGCACAAUGGGCGGAAGCCUGAUGCAGCAACGCCGCGUGCGGGAUGACGGCCUUCGGGUUGUAAACCGCUUUCGCCUGUGACGAAGCGUGAGUGACGGUAAUGGGUAAAGGAGCACCGGCUAACUACGUG
rnacentral:rRNA from 1 species